rnacentral:snRNA from 1 species
UAACUCUGAUUCCGGAACAAUCACAAGAAAAUCUUUCGCCUUUUACUAAAGAUUUCUGUGUUUCGGAAUAAUUCAAUGAGUCUUAUAGACUAAUUUUUUCUCGGCUCGCUUCGUGCGGGCUU